rnacentral:rRNA from 1 species
GACGAACGCUGGCGGCGUGCUUAACACAUGCAAGUCGAACGGAAAGGCCUUUUCGGAGGUACUCGAGUGGCGAACGGGUGAGUAACACGUGGGUGAUCUGCCCUGCACUCUGGGAUAAGCCUGGGAAACUGGGUCUAAUACCGGAUAGGACCGCACUUUAGUGUGUGUGGUGGAAAGUUUUUUCGGUGUAGGAUGAGCCCGCGGCCUAUCAGCUUGUUGGUGGGGUAAUGGCCUACCAAGGCGGCGACGGGUAGCCGGACUGAGAGGUUGGUCGGCCACAUUGGGACUGAGAUACGGCCCAGACUCCUACGGGAGGCAGCAGGGGGGAAUAUUGCACAAUGGGCGCAAGCCUGAUGCAGCGACGCCGCGUGGGGGAUGACGGCCUUCGGGUUGUAAACUCCUUUCGCCAGGGACGAAGCGUUUUGUGACGGUACCUGGAGAAGAAGCACCGGCUAACUACGUG